rnacentral:rRNA from 1 species
GACGAACGCUGGCGGCGUGCUUAACACAUGCAAGUCGAACGGAAAGGCCCUGCUUUUGUGGGGUGCUCGAGUGGCGAACGGGUGGGUAGCACGUGAGUAACCUGCCCUUGACUUUGGGAUAACUUCAGGAAACUGGGGCUAAUACCGGAUAGGAGCUCCUGCUGCAUGGUGGGGGUUGGAAAGUUUCGGCGGUUGGGGAUGGACUCGCGGCUUAUCAGCUUGUUGGUGGGGUAGUGGCUUACCAAGGCUUUGACGGGUAGCCGGCCUGAGAGGGUGACCGGCCACAUUGGGACUGAGAUACGGCCCAGACUCCUACGGGAGGCAGCAGUGGGGAAUAUUGCACAAUGGGCGGAGGCCUGAUGCAGCAACGCCGCGUGCGGGAUGACGGCCUUCGGGUUGUAAACCGCUUUCGCCUGUGACGAAGCGUGAGUGACGGUAAUGGGUAAAGAAGCACCGGCUAACUACGUG